UCUAUUGUAGUUUUAUAAGGUUGUAAUGGGCAGGCGUGCAGUGCGGGGAGAAUGAAGGCACACUGGAGGCGCGGUUGGCAGGCGUGCAACAGUGUUUGUGUGGCCACGCGCGUCUCCCGGCACACUCCGCGACACCUCGAUGUUUGGGUUUAUUUAGGUUUAGCUUGAAAAUUACAAAUCUACAAUGAGUUUUGAGUCGACCACCAGUUCUGCGCUCCCCGAAGGGGAGACCCGCACCAACCUCAUCAUUAAUUACCUCCCACAAACUCUAACUGACCAAGAGUUUUACAAGAUAUUUGUUGUUGUUGGACCUAUUAAAAACUGCCGCAUUAUGAAGGACAUGAAGCAGACUGGCUAUUCAUUUGGCUUUGGCUUCGUGGAGUACCAGAAGCCAGAGGAUGCAGCCAAGGCCAUCCUACAGUUGAAUAACCUGCCGGUGCAGCACAAACGUAUCAAAGUGUCUUACGCUCGGCCACCGGGAGAAGACAUUAAGGAAACUAACCUUUAUAUACAGAAUAUUCCUAGAUCAUACACAUUAGACCAGCUUGAAGAGUUAUUUUCUGUAUAUGGUCAAAUUGUGCAGAAAAAUCUUCUAAAGGACAAAGUAACUGGACUUCCAAGAGGUGUUGGUUUUGUCAGGUUUGAUAAAAAGUCACAAGCUGAGGCGGCAAUCAGUGGCAUGAAUGGUGUAGUCCCUGAGGGUGGCACAGAGCCCCUGGUGGUGAAGGUGGCAGAAGAACACGGAAAGAUGAAGGCAGCUUACUAUGCUGGAUAUCAUGCAGGAAUUAACAAUUUGAGAGGUGGAGGAGCUGGUGAGUCAAACACAAGCCGAGGGCGUGGAAACUAUAAUAGCCGUGGAGGCAGCGGCGGCGGCGGUGGAGGCUACCAGGGUCGUGGCAACUACAAUAAUAUGUAUCAUCACAGGUGGUACUGAGCCGAGGAGUGGAAGGUGAUGCCAGCGCCACCCGCCCUCAUCCUCCUCGCAAGCAGCAGAAUCGUCAGUACCACCAGGGCGGCAAGAUGGCCCCAGACCGAACUGCCAAUCGCUAUAACCCCAUCGGCAGUGGUGGAGGUUAUGGUGGUGGAAGCGGUGGUGCAGGCUACUCCGGCCAUCCCACUGGCCAGUCCUCAUUUUAUAGCUUCUCCACUCCUUCGUUCAGUGGAGGAAACUAUACAUCGUUCUCCAGCAUGAACCAUAACUCCAGCAGUGAUGGUUAUGGUCGGUACUGAGGCCAGCCUGUGUGGAUGAUUUGAGUGACAAAAACAAGAUACUUGCAGGAGUUUAAAAAAAAAUAUUAUGAGCAAUCUAUUCCAGUGGGUGUUUUGUAGAUAAUUUAAAGGAAAAUACAGAGCUAAUAACCUGUUACAGUGGUUAAACCAAAUAAUUAUCUUUUUUUUUUCUUUGUUUACAAUGAUAGUAUAUUCUAGCAAAAUGUUGUUUGAUAUUACAUUUUCCUCAUGAAUAGUUGCAUUAUAUCGAAACCUUCCAAGCGAGGGCACUGACAGCUGAAGUGUUAGUCAAGAUGUUUGUUCAUCCUAUGGAAUAUUCAGGCUUUAAUGUCAUUUGAGAAACUGUGCAAUGCAUUUUGAAUGCUUAGCCGUCUGGUGUAGUUGUCUUUAAAAGUUUUUAAAAGUUUCUUUAUGGCACUCUGGAUUUUCAGCUCUGUUUUUCUACAUUGUAACUGGAAAUAUUUUGUUAUUCAAAUUGCAGUUUCUGCAUUAUAGUUGAAAUAAUACAAUUAUUUCUAUGAACUGUUGUCACUCAAAUAUUUUUUUUUUUUUAUUAUUAUUAUUUCUUUUUAUGUGCUUUUAAGAUAGCACAGCUGGGACUUGGUUUGCAUUCUAAGAUUUCCCCACAUUUAGUAUACUUAUUUUUCUUUUUGUUACUCUAUAUAUUAAUCAACAUAUUUUGGAAGUGUGUGUUUUUCAUUAAGUAUUUUAUUAUACUAUGGAUUUUUCCUGCAGCAGACAAAUAAUGUUGCUGUAGCUAGAUAAUGUCAUUUAUCAUGGUUAUUAUACUGUAGUCUUAUUCAUAUAUCCUGUAAUUACAUAAUUGAUGGUUUCAUAUAUCUUUUUCCAUAUGUGUUCUUUGAUGCUUGGAAAAUGGUUUGAUAUUUUUAGAUUAUAAAAAUAAGGUUUUGCUUUAAGUUUUUCAUUGAAAUGUUGACCUCAUGGUUUUGUUUAUGAUGUUCUGUCAUUGAUCGGUACUCAGUAUACCUGAACAUAAUGUAUGAUUAUUUCUCUUUUUUUCCAUAAAACUAAACAAGUGUUUUGUACAGUGAAACAUUAUUUUUGCUCACACUGUAAUAAGUUACUUGACAGAUAUAUUUAAUAAAGUGAAACUAUCAA